rnacentral:tRNA from 1 species
GGAGAGGUGCUGGAGUGGUCUAACAGGCACGCCUGGAGAGCGUGAGUAGCCCAAAAGGCUACCGUGGGUUCGAAUCCCACCCUCUCCG